rnacentral:rRNA from 1 species
UGAGCAAUCUGCCCUUCUCUUUGGAAUAAGCGUUGGAAACGACGUCUAAUGCCGAAUACGACCUCCUUUCGCAUGAUCGGAGGUGGAAAGCUCCGGCGGAGAAGGAUGAGCUCGCGGCCUAUCAGCUAGUUGGUGUGGGUAAUGGCCCACCAAGGCGACGACGGGUAGCCGGCCUGAGAGGGUGACCGGCCACACUGGGACUGAGACACGGCCCAGACCUCCUACGGGAGGNACGCG